rnacentral:rRNA from 1 species
GACGAACGCUGGCGGCGUGCUUAACACAUGCAAGUCGAGCGAGGCCCCUCCUUCGGGAGGGUGUCCUAGCGGCGAACGGGUGAGUAACACGUGGGCAACCUGCCCUCAGCUCUGGGAUAACUCCGGGAAACCGGGGCUAAUACCGGAUACGACCUCCACGGACAUCUGCGGAGGUGGAAAGUUUUUCGGCUGAGGAUGGGCCCGCGGCCUAUCAGCUAGUUGGUGGGGUAGUGGCCCACCAAGGCGACGACGGGUAGCCGGCCUGAGAGGGCGACCGGCCGCACUGGGACUGAGACACGGCCCAGACUCCUACGGGAGGCAGCAGUGGGGAAUAUUGCGCAAUGGGCGAAAGCCUGACGCAGCGACGCCGCGUGAGGGACGAAGGCCUUCGGGUUGUAAACCUCUUUCAGCAGGGACGAAGCGAAAGUGACGGUACCUGCAGAAGAAGCACCGGCCAACUACGUG